UUAGGACCUGGGAGCCUCAGCAUAGAGCGGGAGGCUUAAACUCAAGGAGAGCCUCUCCAUAUAAAGGAGAUCCCGCGUGAGUUGAGUAACUCACGUUUGUUCUCGUUGUCCGGCAUGUGCUGCAGUCUGGGUUGCUGUGUUUGUUGCUCGCCAGUAACGUGUGGGUGAGCAAACUAUACUAAGGAGGUGUCUUGCUCUGGGACACUUUGACUUGAGACAUGGGGCACCUGGGACUCCAACCACCAACCUUGCGGUUCCCAGCACACCUGCUCUACCCCCUGCGCCACGAUGACCCCAAUAUGACUAAAACGCCAGGAUGUCCUACUGAAUCCAGUCCUUUUAUGGCCACCAUGCUUUUCUGGCAGACUAGCAGGUUUUAGCAACAAAUCUACAAACUGGGAGUACAAGGCAACUGACGGCAAUCCAGCGACACGCAUGGUUUAAAUUCACUGGAGAAGUGCACGUGAUUGGACACAGGUCAGAAACCAUCAAGGACACGGCAGCCAAUCAGAGGGGAAGAAGUGAAGUAAACCCAGGGACACGCUAGGCAGGAAAGUAUCGAAUAAGACCGGAAACAAACCCCAAACUGUGACUUCUACAAUUUGGUACGUAGCCCGGUCUUUCCUCUCCUGUUGUCCCGGCUCUCUGCUCGGCACAUAAGCAGGCAGCUUCUCAAGAUCACCUACUUCACAUCAGCUCAGCAGCCACCCAACGUCCACUAUACUUAUGAAAAUAAAAUCCUUUUUUUUUUUUUUUUUUUUUUUUACACUUCCUGUCCAGCAUUUGGUCACAAAUACAUUUAUCUUGAAAAAUAUUCAUCACUGAAUUAUUAAAGUGACAGUCAAAUUAUUGUA